AGGAAAAUAUAAAUCUCUACAGAAACAUACUGCGUCAUUAUGCUACUUCGGUUUGCGGCGAUCCUUUGGGGGAUAUUUGCCGUAGUAAAUGGCAAUAUUUGUCGGACAGCAGGUGAAUUUUGUUCACAAGUCAAUCAGUUUUGCUUCCAACAAAGUACAGACCAAAUAGAACCUUCGUUUCAGCUACCAAGGGUCGGAAAAGCAGGACCGCAAGGCACAAAGGGUGAUCGAGGACAUCCUGCUGUGGUAAACUACACUGCCAUUGAAGAGAAAAUAGAAAAAAAGUAUCGAGAGAUAGAAGAUCGAAUUGAUGCAAAAUUAUCAAAAUAUGACGCAAUGCUAAAUGAAAAAGUUGCAAAAGAAGAAUUUAAAUAUGAGCUAGACAAGCACCUGCACCACGACUGCAGCGAGGUGUCAAAUGAAGAGGCAAAAACUUGGAACAACAAUGGUGGAGUUGUUGAUAUCUUUCCUAAUAUAAACAAGUACGAAGUUUAUUGCGAUAUUUCCACUGAUGGUAACAAGUGGACGGUAAUUCAAAGAAGACAAGACGGUUCGGUAGAUUUCAAUAGGAAUUGGGCGGACUAUGUCGCAGGAUUUGGAAAUAGAAGUGGAGAAUUCUGGUUAGGUCUGGAAGCCAUUCGCAAAUUAACACAAACUGCAAAUUACGUUUUAAAAAUAGAGUUGACCGACUGGGCCGGACAAACUAGAUAUGCCGAAUAUGGAUCUUUCGCUCUUGGGAGUGCUGAAACAAAAUAUCGCCUGUCUGUCGGUGGUUUUUCGGGAACAGCAGGUGACAGCUUGUCGUACCAUAAUAAGAACAAAUUUUCAACUCCGGAUCAGGACAAUGAUCAACAUUCGAGUAAUUGCGCUUCAGUUCACGGUGGUGGAUGGUGGUUUAAUGCUUGUGAUCAUUCCAAUUUGAAUGGACAAUACCACGUGGGUGGAGCAUAUAGCGGUUCUGAGAAUGGAGUAGAGUGGGAAAAAUGGCCCCACAACGGGCAGUACUCGAUGAAAAAAACCGUCAUGAAGUUGCGACCAAAGAUAUAACGGGACAUUCAGAUCAUAGACAUUUAAUAAUUAAAUGUAACCCACAUGUGUAUAAAAACAACGCAACAACCUUUAUACAAGAUAAAUGUGAUAGCUUGCCCUAUUUUAGCUAUCUCAAAUACAAAAUAAUAUUUUUCAUUCAAUUACGUGUUCUAAUUGACGUCAAUUCUAAUUUUUUAUAGGUUUGUUAUUACCUGUUCGUAUUGAAUAUAUACGAACAUCUCAUAGGAUUUGAAUGCACUCUAUUGGCUUGAUUUCCUACACUAGCAAGACACUCUACGACGGCCAUGGCUCGGUGUUCAAUUUAUUCAUAAAUCGCCCUUAUUGACUCGCUCUGUCUGUGGCUACGAUAACUCUAACUGUUGACGAUAACGAUAACUGUUGUGUUGGGAUCGUGAUAAUGCAAAAUAAGUUCAAAAAUGAAUCAACAUAUUUUAUAAGUCGUGGAAGUAUUGCGAAAAUACCAAUCUUAUAGAUUUUCGUCUCUACGAACAGGCGAAUAAAUUUUGCAUAUAUAUAUAUA